UUGCAUGAUGAAACACACCUUUUCUUUCAAUAAUUUCUGGUACCUCUUAUGUCAGGGUCUCAGUCCUCGUGAUUGAGCCCAAUGAUCUAAAUGGACUUCUGAUA
rfam:TPA: Aspergillus nidulans FGSC A4 chromosome I